GACGAACGCUGGCGGCGUGCUUAACACAUGCAAGUCGAACGGAAAGGCCCUGCGUUUGUGGCGUUCUCGUGUGGCGAACGGGGGAGUAACACGUGAGUAACCUGCCCUUGACUUUGGGAUAACUCCAGGAAACUGGGGCUAAUAUCGGAUAGGAGCUCCUGCUGCAUGGUGGGGGUUGGAAAGAUUCGGCGGUUGGGGAUGGACUCGCGGCUUAUCAGCUUGUUUGUGGGGUAGUGGCGUACCAAGGCUUUGACGGGUAGCCGGCCUGAGAGGGGGACCGGCCACAUGGGGCCUGAGAUACGGAGCAGACUCCUACGGGAGGCAGUAGUGGGGAAUAUUGCGCAAUGAGGGGAAGCCUGAUGCAGAAACGCCGCGUGCGGGAUAAAGGGCUUCGGGUUGUAAACCGCUUUCGCAUGUGACGAAGCGUGAGUGACGGUAAUGGGUAAAGAAGCACCGGCUAACUACGUG
rnacentral:rRNA from 1 species